AGCCUGAAGUGUGGCUGUUCUACUUCUAGUAUGAGGUUAAUAUUUGAUCUUGUAGCAGAUGAUAUGAUUCUAACACCAUCAAAUAUGGCCAAAUUAUAGUAUCUACCGCCUAGAUUUUGUUGUUAUAUAAAUUCGUCUCUGUAAUGAUAUGUUUUCAUAAUGUUGGUCUGUAGGGUUUUACUUCAAUUGUCCUUUAGCAAAAUGGAUGCAGAAACUUACUUAGGGCUAGAGUGCUUUUAAUUUUUUUAGGCUGGAUAAUAUAAUGUGUGGUAUGUUGGUCUUGAUGCAUAUAAUUGGAUGAUGCUCAACUACUAUUUAGGUUCAUAUUCAUAGUUGGGACGCAUGGUACUUUCUUUACUUGUUAUGGUAGCAGGAAUUGAUAACAAAAGAAAAUGCAAUAUUAUGUGAGGAAGUUAAUAGAUGAUGAAAAUUGGCAGAUUGGCCCAGUAUAAGUCCAUCUAAUGAGCUUAUUCCUGGUGAGAGGCGCAAUGACAGAAUAAUGAAGGUUCAGUAAGUUGUUAAUGACUUAAAGAAAAGCUCAUUAGAUGGUCAAAACAUAUUAUUUGUGGAUCACUUGCUAGUGUGCCAUUUAAAAUGAAAACAAAAUAUCCUUUAUGCUGUAUAGUAGGAAAAUGGUCACAAGAGCUUAAUCACUCUGUUUACUGUCCCCUUCUUCUGUCUUAUUUAACUGGAGAUGGAACUCGAUUCAAUGAAGUGGCAUUGAAUUUUUGUUGCAACUCCAUUGUCAUUAAUAGGAUUGGUAGGACUUUGGAUUGUUCAAAUUAUAUUAUCCAGCUUGAAAAACUAAGACUGAUUCCUAGUUAUCAUUUAAUUUCUUAUGGUAUGCCUACAUUUUUUUAGGAGUAUUAUGUUCAGCAAAAGCAUCUCUUAUACAGGGAAGUACUGCAAAACUGGUGGCUAAAUACCUACCUGGCAUGCCUAUUUUAUCUGUGUUUGUGCCUGAGAUUAAGACUGAUUCCUUUGAUUGGUCCUGCAGUGAUAGCUCCUGCAAGGCAUAGCCUUAUUUUGCAGCAUGUUUGUACCUGUUUUAUAAUUAUAUGCAGGAUCUGCUAGGGAUUCUCAUGCAGAGACAACAGAAGAACCUUUGAAUUUUGCCAUUUGACAUGCCAAGAUGAAAGGACUAUGCAAGAAUGGAGAUUCUGUUGUGCCUUGCACCAAGUUGGAACUGCAGAGAUAACUUUUGUUUCAGCUUCUUGCUUCUCCUUAAUCAAAGAUGUGAAAAGCGAUUGGCCAAUCCUUGGUGUGAUGACAUAUGUAAGAGAUUUUUUUUUUCCACAUGGUUAGUUUUGCAAAACACUGCUGGAUUUAGCCAUAUUGUGAUUCAGGUAGUUAUGUUGCCAUUGUAUAUACUUCCAACUGCUUCACACUAUGUUCGCAAGUUAAAUGAUAGCUAAAUUAUUUACAGGGGAACAAUAAAUCCAUUUUUAAAGUGCAACAUUCGAACCCUUGCUAUUGGACUUCAACUUUUAGGAAGGAUGACAAUGUUUGUGGAUUGAUCUUGCUGUUUCAGACUGGACCAAUUGAAAUUAGGUGAAAUGCUUGCAAUGCUAAGAUAAUUAAUAUAAGAAUCUUGACCAUAGAGCAUAACUUACCAUCUUAACAUGAUGUCUUACCAAUAUUUUUGAAAGCCCUCCCAGCUAGCAUACUAAGGUCAGUUCAUUGAUAUUGUUGACACUUGUACCUGGGCAGAUCUUUUCCAGAUCUUGAAUUGGUGAAAGAAAGCUUCCCAUUGUCGAUUCUUAGGUGGAACUACAAAACAAACAUGGAAAAGAAGAUUAGUUUUUACAAUGGGCUGAUUACUUUGGUAUCCUUUUCUUUGGAUUUUUUGAAAUUGUUAAUUGUUAGCUACUCUUUAUGAUUUGUUAAAUGGUUUGUUUCUAAUGUUGAGGAUACUUUAGGCAAAUGGGUGUGAGUUGGCCUUCGUCUCGCUACGGUCUGGUGAAAAUGGUUUCAAGUACCUUAAUCUAUCUUUAGCCAAUGUUAUGACAAAAACACUAGCACAACUUCAAAAGUUUAACUGAAAGAUGUUUUUUCUAGGAUUCCAGUCUCUUCCUUAUCUUCAUGAUAAGGUCCUUACUGCUGCUGAUGCUUUCAUCGGUUUCUCUUCCAAUCAGAAGAAGCAGCAGGUCCAAAUUAACAACAAAACUUGUCCAUAUUUAUAUUUGUUAUUAUUCUUCUUUUUAUAGUAUUUCUUGGUGCAUGAUGUUUGCGGAUGAUAUUGUUCUGAUAGAUGAGACACGAGGAGUCAAUAGAAAGCUAGAACUUUGGAGAAGAACUCUAGAGUCAAAGGGUUUCAAGUUAAGUAGAACGAAGACAGAAUACAUGCAUUGCAAGUUCAGUGAAUGCCAAACUGGCGAUAGGGAAGGAGUUAGUUUGAAUGGAGUGAUACUGCCCCAAAGUAAUCACUUUAAAUAUCUAGGCUCAGUCCUUCAAGUAGAUGGGAGAUGUGAGGAGGAUGUUAGUCAUAGGAUUAAAGUCGGAUGGUUGAAGUGGAGACGUGCCACGGGAGUUUUAUGUGAUCGUAAGAUUCCUAAUAAAUUGAAAGGAAAAUUUUACCGUACAGCCGUACGACCGGCUAUGUUAUAUGAUAGUGAGUGUUGGGCACUGAAAGAGCCGUAUGCAUCUAAGAUAAGAGUUGUAGAGAUGAGAAUGUUAAGGUGGAUGAGUGGCCAUAUUAGAUUAGAUAAAGUUCGUAACGAGAGUAUUAGAGAAAAGGUAGGAGUGGUGCCAAUUGAAGAUAAGUUGAGAGAAGGGAGAUUGAGGUGGUUUGGUCAUGUGAAGCGUAGACAUACGGAGGCUCCAGUUAGACAAGUAGAGCACAUUAGGUUAGAGGAUAGAAAGAAAAAAAGUGGUAGACCUAAAUUGACUUGGAGGAGAGUAGUACAACAUGACCUAGAAGCAUUACACAUUUCCGAGGAUUUAACCCAAAAUCGUUCAGAGUGGAGAAAGCGAAUCCAUAUAGCCGACCCCAAAUUUUUGGGAUAAAAGGCUUAGUUAAGUUGAGUUGAGUUGAGUAUUCUUCUUUUUUAUAGCUUGUGUAUGUGCUGCAGGGGAUUAGGCCUGGGAUUCUAGCUGGUAUUGUCAAUGGCUUUAAAGCAGGGAAAGAAGAGCAGACCACUGAUACUACUCCAACACCUCAAUCCAAUUUUAGUCACCUAGAGGACAUUUUCUCAAAGCCACGAUACUCAGAAUCAUCUCCAGCUGUUACUGAUAUUCAGGAGGCUGUAGAGUAUAGAUGAUAUUGAGAUAGAUGAAUCAAUUCUGCCCACGGUAACUACAUUGCAGGAAGUGAAAAAUAUAAACAGAGGUAAAUUUGAAUUUUCCAUAUUUAAUAUGUUCUUUUACUCGUUAAUUGUCUUUAACAAUAUUGUUAUUGUACUGCAUAGAAGAUACAGAAAGGGAACAAUUAUUAGGCAAGGCUGGUGAUAUGAAACCCGGACUAAGGAUACUUGAGGAAAUUAUAGCUCAAUAUAGAAAAGAUGGGGUAAUAUCUUGAUUUUUUUUUAAAAAUUUUUUAAUUCAUUUGGCUCUGUUUGCAACUCGAGAUCUUGCUGUCCUAGAGAUGACAUUUAUUUAGUUCUCAACUUCUUUUCUUCAAGGUGACAUUUAUUUCAAUGGGUUACUUAUUUGCGGUAAUUGUUUUUAGGAUGCCUUGUCAGUUGCUGCACAAGCAAGAAACAAGGUUGUGGACAGACAUGAAAAACUGGAGGUAUGAUGUUGAAGGAUUAGCAUGGAGCUUAUUUUAGUUUUUAAAUAGGGCAUAUCAACUUUUGUUUGGAAACUAACCUACCACAUAAUUAUUUUGAGUGGCAAUGGUGAGAGAAAAGGCGAUAAUUGUAGUCGUGGCAUUAAACUUGAUUUUGCUCUUGUAUUUCAUCAUCUCUAUCCAAAAAAAAAAAAACUUGUUAAGGCAAUGGAGAAUCGAAAAUGGUGGCAUGUAUGAAAAGGGGAAAAUCUGGUUUUGGUUAGCAUGUGUUUCAUUUGGCCACACCCUUUCUUACUAGAUUUGUUCAGGGAUGUGGGAGCUGAUCCCAGGCAUUUAAAGCACUGGAUAUCAUGUUCUCAAGUCAGCUGUUGCUUGUAGCAGAAAAUUAAGAGCUUUUAAUUUAAGAGUGAGUUUUCAUUGUCUAUAAUGUAAAGCAAAUGAUGGUGCGCUCAGUUUUUUUUUACGGCAAAUACAGCUGCUUCCAGCAUUUUUUUAAAAACAUUCUUUGCA